UACGUAGGUGACAAGCGUUGUCCGGAUUUACUGGGCGUAAAGAGCGCGCAGGCGGUCGAUCAAGUCGAGUGUGAAAGCCCCCGGCUCAACUGGGGAGGGUCAUUCGAUACUGAUCGACUCGAAGGCAGGAGAGGGUAGUGGAAUUUACGGUGUAGCGGUGAAAUGCGUAGAUAUCGUAAGGAAGACCAGUGGCGAAGGCGGGUCUCUGGACAGUUCCUGACGCUGAGGCACGAAGGCCAGGGGAGCAAACGGG
rnacentral:rRNA from 1 species